rnacentral:lncRNA from 1 species
GAGGAUACUUGAAAAAAAAAAGACAUCCUUUUGAAGUUUCACCUCAAUGGUCAACUUUGCUAGGCCAUAGCCACAAACACAGAAUAUAUAUUUUUUCAAAAAAAACAUACUGUACUUAUGAUGGAGUAUUAUUUAUCCACCCAAAGGAAAAAAGAAAGAGAGAAAGAAGAAGGAACACCCAAGCAAGAAAGCAAGACAGAGAAAAAGAAAGGAAGAGAGAGAAAAAGG